GAUUUAUUUAUCUUAUAACAGUUCUAUGUUGAUAAUGUAAAAAAUACUGACAGGUUCAUCUAAAAUAUGUUUGGAUAAGCUACAUUAUAUAUGAUUCAUAUCUUAUGUAUAAUUUAUAUAUCAUAUUUGAUUGGUUCAUACACAAAGGAACAAAUGUUUCUAUAUAAGAAAGUUAUUUUGCUUAUUAUAGAAUUUAAAACUAAAAUGAUUCUUCCACGAUGGCCAUUUAGCAAUUUAAAUUUAGGAAACUUCUGGCAUGUUCAAUUGAGUAUUUACUUUGCAUAAUUGUGUUCCAUAUCUUAAUGCAUUCCCUUUAGCAGUUUCUUUCAGCAAGCAACACAUGUAACCUUGUUUCUCACUAAAUAUUUUUUAUUUUAGCAAAGUUUUAGACCUAGAGAUUUAAAGAAAAAUUGCCAAGAUGUUACAAACAUGAACUCUUGAACCGAAUCUUUUAUUUUUAAGCAUGCAAAACGGUGUGGUUUUUUAAAACCCUGAAGACAUAAAUGUACCACUGAGAACCCAAAGAAAAUUGGACUGUUUUGUUUUGUGAUUUGAUGUCUGAAAAAUAAAAUCCUUUAGUUUCCUUUCAUUUUUCCUCAGAGAAUAUAGACUGUGUUGUGAUGUCAAACUCAUUCUGAGUUUAGAUGCCCCAUGGGCAAAUCGUUUGGUCUAAUUAAAACAAAAUGAAGACAAAUCUCUUACAAGUAAAUCUUUGAUGGUGGGAAAUGUAGCGUCAUGUUUUAAAAGCCUUCACAGAAGACAAAGUACCUCUCAAUCUUGUAACUCUACUUUUUAUAGCUACCCAAAAUAAUUAUUAAGGCAUAUUUGAUAUAUUGUAAUCAAUUUAUAUUUGUGUUUUGUUUAAUAAUUGGGCUCCUUUGGACCAUUUGCUGCAAAUAUCCUAUAUUAAAAAAAACUUUGUCUAAAUAUAUCAUGCAGA
rnacentral:lncRNA from 1 species